UGGGGAAUAUUGCACAAUGGGCGCAAGCCUGAUGCAGCCAUGCCGCGUGUGUGAAGAAGGCCUUCGGGUUGUAAAGCACUUUCAGCGGGGAGGAAGGCGUUAAGGUUAAUAACCUUGGCGAUUGACGUUACCCGCAGAAGAAGCACCGGCUAACUCCGUGCCAGCAGCCGCGGUAAUACGGAGGGUGCAAGCGUUAAUCGGAAUUACUGGGCGUAAAGCGCACGCAGGCGGUCUGUCAAGUCGGAUGUGAAAACCCCGGGCUCAACCUGGGAACUGCAUUCGAAACUGGGAGGCUAGAGUCUUGUAGAGGGGGGUAGAAUUCCAGGGGUAGCGGUGAAAUGCGUAGAGAUCUGGAGGAAUACCGGUGGCGAAGGCGGCCCCCUGGACAAAGACUGACGCUCAGGUGGGAAAGCGUGGGGAGCAAACAGG
rnacentral:rRNA from 1 species